rnacentral:lncRNA from 1 species
CUGGGAGGCUGGAGGACCUGUCUGGUUAUUAGACAGAGGCACAGCUAGAGUUGGGAUCCGCACAGCUCAGAACACCUGGAUCUUGCUCAGUCUCUGUCAGGGGAAGAUUCCUUGGAGGAGCACACCGUCUCCACCCCUGUUUUCCCGCCCAAGGAGGAAGCCCCACAGCGACAUGGACGGAGCUGCAUUGCUGAGAGUCUGUGUCCUGUGCAUCUGGGUGCAGCAGAACCAUCCAGGCUGGACGGUGGCUGAAGAGCUCCAACGUAUGCCUCUCAGUGACCUUGUUGCGGGCAUCAUAGACUCAGGUAGGCUCACCUCCUCUUCCCUGGCUGGUUCCUACUUACACCUAGAAUGAAAGGUGGUGCCUCCAGAGCCGAGUGAGCCGCAGAGGAACCCAGAUGAGGAAGGAGGCCGAUGAGUGUGCCCCAAGCCCCAAGAGAGGCCAGCUGAAAUAGAUGGGUUCCUCCCCAAAGCACCAUGGCAUUUCCCUGGUAAAUUACUCUUCCCAGGCUGCCCUAGUAAAAUGCCACAGGCUGGAUGGCUUCAACAAUUGACUUAUUUUCUCAACGUCCUGGAGGCAAGAAGUCCAAGGUGAAGGUGUUAGCAGGGUUGGUGUCUGG